rnacentral:piRNA from 1 species
ACGUAUGUUAAAUGUAGAGGUAGU